rnacentral:siRNA from 1 species
UCCGACAUCGCAACCGUCUAGCC